GGCUGAGUUACAGCUCCACCUGGCUCUCUGCUGGAUAAUCCAAAAAUACGACAUUGUGGCCACAGACAAUGAACCUGUGGAGAUGCUGCACCUUGGCAUCCUGGUACCCAGCCGGGAGCUGCCAAUUGCGUUCCGUCCACGGUAGGAUGCUGAGGUUUAUUUUCACCCCAAUCAAGACCAGCAAUCUUCCCCUUUCUGCAAGAAAGCUGCUUAUGGCUUCAGUAUUCCUAAGACGGCGAACUUCAAGGACCAGAGCAUGGGACAACCUGCGAAACACGGCGCACACAGCCUUCUGCAGAAUGAUUCUGACAAUGAUGUUUACUAAGCCCAUUACUCAGGGAAGCACAUGGGGGGCGGAAAUGCCAGGCACCGCCCACUACACUUUACCACGUGUUUACAUUAGCCAAUCAGAGCCCCUAAGAGCCUGCGAUCGCUCCAUCU
rnacentral:lncRNA from 1 species